rnacentral:misc_RNA from 1 species
CAGAUCUUGUAACUUAAGUAGGAGGGGAAACAUCAAGUAAUUUUUAUGUCUAGAAUUAUCUUGCAAUGUUCUUAAUCUUACCUCUAUGCUUGCAUUUAAGUAAUUGUAUGAUACAAAAUCAUGUGGGUGGUACCAUCCUUUGUAGUUAUGGUAUUUGUAUUCCUUUGUAUGGUCCAAAACAUAUAUAGCUGAUUUGAGAGUCAUUUACUGCAG